rnacentral:rRNA from 1 species
GAUGAACGCCGGCGGCGUGCUUAACACAUGCAAGUCGAACGAUGAAGCCCAGCUUGCUGGGUGGAUUAGUGGCGAACGGGUGAGUAACACGUGAGUAACCUGCCCUUAACUCUGGGAUAAGCCUGGGAAACUGGGUCUAAUACCGGAUAGGAGCGUCCACCGCAUGGUGGGUGUUGGAAAGAUUUAUCGGUUUUGGAUGGACUCGCGGCCUAUCAGCUUGUUGGUGAGGUAAUGGCUCACCAAGGCGACGACGGGUAGCCGGCCUGAGAGGGUGACCGGCCACACUGGGACUGAGACACGGCCCAGACUCCUACGGGAGGCAGCAGUGGGGAAUAUUGCACAAUGGGCGCAAGCCUGAUGCAGCGACGCCGCGUGAGGGAUGACGGCCUUCGGGUUGUAAACCUCUUUCAGUAGGGAAGAAGCGAAAGUGACGGUACCUGCAGAAGAAGCACCGGCUAACUACGUG